AAGGAGACGUGAGCUGGCAGAGGCCGCUGAGAAGAGACAGAAAGAGAAAUUCUUCAGUCAAAGCCAAUUGUAUCCAACCCAUAAAACAUGUGGUCCUACUAAAGCAUCGAGGUGAGUAUGAAGACCGUGUUCUUAGCUCCAUGUUUUGACUCGGCUGGUAUUUCCUCCCACCACCCACACGACCCACCUCUCACUUCUGGUGCUGCACACUUUGUCAUUCUGUCUUUACUUUAUUUUAAACGUUCCUUACCCUGGUUCCAGAUCUGUUUGUGCUGUCCAAUGGUUAUUGUCACUCCGUUGACCACAGGAGUUGGCAAGACGGCACAAACAGAUCUGGAACCAGGCUAUAUGCUUUCCCCGACACAACACUAUAUACUGGAACUUAAUGCCUCUAACAGAUCUGGGACCAGGCCUCUUGCCACAUUGGAGGGCAUAUAAUCCAGCAUGUGUCAAACAGCUGGCAACUGGGUUCCCACUAGAUAGCACAGCCACAAAGUCAAAAUGGGCUAAAUUGUAAAAUUCAUUGAAGGGAGAGAAAAAAAUCUAAUUUUUGUUGUCUUAAUUUAAGGUAAGGCAUAAGGUUAGCAGUGUGGUUAUGGUUAGGUUUAAAAUAAUAUUAAGAUAAAUUGUAGAAAUACGUGGUGUUUAUGACUUUGUGGCUGUGGUAACAACCUGGCAAUGGCUAUCUGUCUGCAUGAACUGUACUGAAUGUCUCUCAGGAAGUCUGACAACUGGCUGCCCUGCCCAAUGGCGAGCACUAUCCUCUUUCAGGAAGUCUGACAACUGGCUGCCCUGCCCAAUGGCGAGCACUAUCCUCUUUCAGGAAGCUCAGUUUGAUUUGCAACCCUUCUGUAUCUAGCGUUUAACCGUACAAAUAGAAUUACGUUCAACAUAAUAUUUCUAGUCAGAUCAUGACAUGCACAUGUAGGCCUGUAUUCCAGUAAAACUCUUGUCUGUAAAUUCUCUCAAUUAUGCGAGACCCAUUUCUGAAAAGAUCAAUAAAGUGAACUGAAGACGAUGAGUUUCAACUGAACACAUAAGAGACGUUAGACUUGUAACAGUGUAGUCAACACUAUGGGCCCUGGUCUAAAGUAGUGCACUAUAUUUAGGGUUCUAUAGGGCCCUAGUCUAAAGUAGUGCACUAUAUAGGGAAUAGGGUUCUAUAGGGCCCUGGUCUAAAGUAGUGCACUAUAUAGGGUUCUAUAGGGCCCUGGUCUAAAGUAGUGCACUAUAUAGGGAAUAGGUUUUUUUAGGGCUCUGGUCUAAAGUAGUGCACUAUAUAGGGAAUAGGGUUCUACAGGGCUCUGGUCUAAAGUAGUGCACUAUAUAUAGGGUUCUACAGGGCUCUGGUCUAAAGUAGUGCACUAUAUAUAGGGUUCUAUGGGGCCCUGGUCUAAAGUAGUGCACUAUAUAUAGGGUUCUAUGGGGCCCUGGUCUAAAGUAGUGCACUAUAUAUAUCGAAUUUAUUUAUAUAGCCCUUCGUACAUCAGCUGAUAUCUCAAAGUGCUGUACAGAAACCCAGCCUAAAACCCCAAACAGCAAGCAAUGCAGGUGUAGAAGCACGGUGGCUAGGAAAAACUCCCUAGAAAGGCCAAAACCUAGGAAGAAACCUAGAGAGGAACCAGGCUAUGAGGGUGGCCAGUCCUCUUCUGGCUGUGCCGGGUGGAGAUUACAACAGAACAUGGCCAAGAUGUUCAAAUGUUCAUAAAUGACCACUAUGGUCAAAUAAUAAUCAGGAGUAAAUGUCAGUUGGCUUUUCAUAGCCAAUCAUUAAGAGUAUUUCUACCGCUCCUGCGGUCUCUAGUAGAGGUCGACCGAUUAUGAUUUUUCAAUGCCGAUACCGAUUAUUGGAGGGCAAAAAAAGCCAAUACCGAUUAAUCGUCCGAUUUUUAUAAUAAAAAAAAUAUAUAUAUAUACCGUAAUUUCCAGACUAUAAGCCGCUACUUUUUUCCCACGCUAUGAACCUCGCGGUUUAUACAAUGACGCGGCUAUUUUUUUUUAUUUUUUACAAGAUUCAUGCCGCCAAAAAACUGAGCACCGUCACAUAAUGUGACGUAAAUCGAGCGCGCUCAAACUUUCCAUCAUUCUGAUUACGGUAGUCAUCUUGUCACCCUCAUCAUGGCAAAGACACGGAGAAAUGCAUAUGAUGCAGCUUUCAAGUUGAAGGCGAUCGAUCUGGCUGUUGGAAAAGGAAAUAGAGCUGCUGCAUGGGAGCUUGGCCUUAAUGAGUCGAUGAUAAGACGUGGGAACUGUGCAAAUCCGACUGAAAGCCAAAACAAUCGCCACCGCAAUGAAGUUUGACUUUCUUGGUAGGCUACUGUUUACUGCUAUUUAUUUUUUAUUUUUUUUACAAGCCGUGUUUCGUUAAAGCCUAUUUAUUUUUGUUACAAGCCGUGUUUCGUUUAAAAGCCUAUUUAUUUUUGUUACAAGCCGUGUUUCGUUUAAAGGCUGUGUAAAGUUCAUUUGUUUCAAUGUACCGGUAGGCACUUGCGGCUUAUAGACAUGUGCGGUUUAUUUAUGUACAAAAUACAUAUUUGUAAAAAAAUCAGUGGGUACGGCUUAUAUUCAGGUGCGCUUAAUAGUCCAGCAAUUACGGUAUAUAUCAUACACACACACAUUUUUGUAAUAAUGACAAUUGCAACAAUACUGAAUGAACAGUGACCACUUAUUUUAACUUAAUAUAAUACAUAAAUACACACACACAGCUCUGAAGUGACAAUGAUACUGAAGAGUCUGCUUAGGAGACAAAUACUCAACUGUUUGAAUAAAAAUUGAGUUUAAGUUACCUGUGAUGAAUGUUGAAAACAAAAACCUUAAUUUCUAUAUGCAGGAAAUCCUAUUUUAAUAAUGGGCAUGGUAAGAAUUGACAACCAAAGUGCGAGUCAUAAUUCCCAUGACACCUAGCAAAAUCUGAAAAGCGGUUCCUUCAUUUAUUCCAUAGGAUAUUUUUAGAUUCACUUAAAAUAAGGUCUGUGUUUCGUUUAGGCUUACACCACCGUGCCAAUUUUAUAACUGUGUAGAUAUCCAUAGGACAAGGUAACUCUGAUCAAUAUUGGCUAAAUAUAAGCGAAGAUAAAAAAAAUUGUAGAGUGGAUUUAUGAAAAUAUGUUGACAAACGUUACCUUAUCCUAGUGAGAUUUACACGGGUAUCAAAACGUCGAGGCGGUUUAAGCACGAAACACAGACCUUAUUUGAAGUAGAUCAAGACAUUCUCUAUGGAAGACAUGAACGGUAAAAUAACGAAGGAACCCCUUUCAAGUUCAGCCGCAAGUUAUUACAGGAAUUAUAACGCGUCGACUAUUUCUCUCUAAACCAUAUACCUUUGACUAAUCCGGAAACUAUCACCUCAAACAAAACGUUUAUUCCGUUCCGUAUUUUAUCUAACGGGUGGCAUCCAUCAGUCUAAAUAUUCCUGUUACAUUGCACAACCUUCAAUGUUGUCAUAAUUACGUAAAGUUCUGGCAAAUUAGUUUGCAAAGAGCCAGGCGACCCAAACUGUUGCAUAUACCCUGACUGCGUGCAAUGAACGCAAGAGAAAUUACAAUUUCACCUGGUUAAUAUUGCCUGCUAACCUGGAUUUCUUUUAGCUAAAUAUGCAGGUUUAAAAAUACUUGUGUAUUGAUUUUAGGAAAGGCAUUGAUGUUUAUGGUUAAGUACACAUUGGAGCAAUGACAGUCAUUGAUUGUUUUUUAUAAGAUAAGUUUAAUGCUAGCUAGCAACUUACCUUAGCUUACUGCAUUCGCUAACAGGCAGGCUCCUCGUGGAGUGCAAUGUAAUCAAUGCAAGAUUGGAUCCCCCGAGCUGACAAGGUUAAAAAUCUGUCGUUCUGCCUCGUUCCUAGGCCGUCAUUGAAAAUAAGAAUGUGUUCUUAACUGACUUGCCUAGUUAAAUAAAGGUGUAAAAUAAAAAAUGUUAUAAACUUGAAAUCGGCCAUUCCGAUUUAUCGGUCGACCUCUAGUCUCUAGAGUUGAAAACAGCAGGUCUGGGACAGGUAGCACGUCCGGUGAACAGGUCAGGGUUCCAUAGCCGCAGGCAGAACAGUUGAAACUGGAGCAGCAGCACGGCCAGGUGGACUGGGGACAGCAAGGAGUCAUCAGGCCAGGUAGUCCUGAGGCAUGGUCCUAGGGCUUAGGUCCUCCGAGAGAGAGAGAAUUAGAGAGAGCAUGCUUAAAUUCACACAGGACACGGGAUAAGACAGGAGAAGUACUCCAAAUAUAACAAACUGACCCUAGCCCCCCGACACAAACUACUGCAGCAUAAAUACUGGAGGCUGAGACAGGAGGGGUCAGGAGACACUGUGGCCCCAUCCGAUGAUACCCCCGGACAGGGCCAAACAGGAAGGAUAUAACCCCACCCACUUUGCCAAAGAACAGCCCCCACACCACUAGAGGGAUAUCUUCAACCACCAACUUACCAUCGUGAGACAAGGCCGAGUAUAGCCCACAAAGAUCUCCACCACAGCACAAACCAAGGGGGGGCGCCAACCCAGACAGGAAGAUCACAUCACAUAUAUAGGGUUCUAUAGGAUCCUGGUCUAAAGUAGUGCACUAUAUAGGGAAUAGGUUUUUUUAGGGCUCUGGUCUAAAGUAGUGCACUACAUAGGGAAUAGGGUUCCAGUGGGGACAGAGCCGUGUGUCUGUAGCUGCCAUUCUGACCUCUCCAUCUCCUCUUAGACAACCUACAGGGGUGUCAAAAAAACCCAAGCAGUUGAGAGAAAUAAAAAGAAUAAGGAGAUGGAGAAACAAGAGAUGAGACCGUCUCCGCCUGGAGGAGAAGGAGGAGGAGGGAUGAAGGUUAGUCCUCAUAUUUUCAACACAGAUUAUGUCAUGUCACAGUCUGCCUGCAACUUCAGGAGGUAAGUCUCUUAACGAAUCAGCACACCUUUGAGAAAGGCAAGACGGCCUAACCUUGUAUUCUUUGCUGGCUUAUAUAUAUUCCUUUUUAAAUAAUGAAUGAAUCAUAUAGGUCAUUUGUUUUGAGCUAGAAUAGUUAAAGGAUGUAGCCCAAAACAUAAAGGCGUUUUAAUGUCUCCGACUACAUGAAUGACUGAAUCUGCUUUAUUUAUGCCACAUCCCACUUGUUGUUCGAAUGUUUCCUGUUUCUCUCGACAGGUCAUUUAUUUGUCUACGAGUAUGCUUUUCCCCUUUUUGAGGAGAUGCGUGAGCUGUGUCUAUUCCAUCCUUUAAUACCAUGUUUUCUUCUGUUUUGUAGUGGCAGGUAGGCUAAAGAUAGACAUGGAGAGAUCCUGGAAGUCUCAAUGUAGACUGAGGUUCAGCUAACAACAUGAAGAUGGUACCAGUUGACUUAAAGGCUUUUUUUUUUGAAUAUCAGCCCUUAUACUAGAUUUUUUAUUUGUAAAUGCAAGCUUUUUUUAGAGGCGAUUGUGUGUCUGCAUCUCUCAACUUCGUAGGAUAGUUUGCCGGGCUUCGACGCUGGUAAAAUAAAUAAAUAAAAGAUUCUGCUGCCCAAUGUUGGCCGUGUGAAUCACAGGACAUGCCUCCCUUAAUGCCAAGAUAUACAAGAGAAUAUGCAAGCCAGCCAAUGGAGCUUUGGAACAGACAGGGCGGCGUAGCUAUGAAUAGAAUAUAAACACUCAGAGGAAAUAUGCUCUCACACUACAUCGAUAAACUGUACCAGGCGUCUUGCAGUGAACUCUCUCUCUUUGUGUUCUCUUUGUCCUCUCGCCUUUCUUUCUCUCAGCCAUUUCCACUUUGCCAGCUUUAACACCAUGGCGCUUACUUCUUUUGCAAUUGUUUCAGACAUUUUGAACUUUGAGGAAUAUUCUUGUGAUCUAUUUACUGUAUAGUAUAUUUUCCUUCUAAAAUUAUUUUAUGCAACAAAGUCCUUUUUACUGUUCAAAAUAGGCCUAGAUGAUUCAAAUGUCAUUUUCUAUUGUAGAUCAGUGUGAAAAGAACUACGUUUCCCAUAGCUACUGAUGAACCACAUGUGAACGUUUUAGAGUUCCCGCACCAGAACUAUUCAGUUGACUUUUCUAUUGUAGAUCAGUGUGAAAAGAACUACGUUUCCCAUAGCUACUGAUGAAUGUUUUAGAGUUCACGCACCAGCACUAUUCAGUUGACUUCAUUUUAGUGUUUGAUUUUCAUAUGUCUGUGCAAUAUAAGUUAUUUGCUACACGUUGUAUUGGUUUGUAAUGUAUGAAGAAAAUGCUAUAUUUUAAAUGAGGUAAGAAGUUUGAGUCGUGAAAGCCUGAUGAAAGUGUUUUUUUUAUGCAUGAAUAUUUCUUCUUUUUUUCCUCUCAUUUCAACCUGUUCAGUAAUAUUGUUGUCAUGACAAUGUUCCAGGAAUUAUUUUAUCCAAACAUACACCGGUGUCACAAUGUUCUUUCUUGGGUAUGCAGUCUGUUGUCAGGAUGGUAAUAGGACUACCGUUAUUCACCAGGUUUCGGUCCAUUUCAGUUCAGGAAGUACACUGAAAUUACAAUUAUCUGCAAUGCUUUUCAAUGAGGAAUUUUUUUGGGGGAUUUACUUUCUGAAUUUAAAUAGAAUUGACCCCAACCCUGUCAUCCACUGGGGCGUACCUGUCCACGAUGAUACCUGCAGAUUUGUCAUCCACUGGGGCGUACCUGUCCACGAUGAUAACUCUGCAGAUCUGUCAUCCACUGGGGCGUACCUGUCCACGAUGAUAACUCUGCAGAUCUGUCAUCCACUGGGGCGUACCUGUCCACGAUGAUAACUCUGCAGAUCUGUCAUCCACUGGGGCGUACCUGUCCACGAUGAUAACUCUGCAGAUCUGUCAUCCACUGGGGCGUACCUGUCCACGAUGAUAACUCUGCAGAUCUCAGAAGGAAAUGGGAAGAGAGCCUGAACCAGCAGGUGUUAUUGUGCACUUGGAAGUAUUGCAUUUAUACCUGCCUUGCUUUUUAUACUUGAGGUUUCUUCUUCCUAUACCCACCUAGUGCUUCAAAGGCUCUUGCCAUUUUGAGGUGCAUGAAGUCACGCCAAUGUCAUUUUGUUGAAAUAAAGUUGUCAGAUGACUGUU